AUGAACGCUGGCGGCGUGCCUAAUACAUGCCCGUCGAGCGAACAGACGAGGAGCUUGCUCCUCUGACGUUAGCGGCGGACGGGUGAGUAACACGUGGAUAACCUACCUAUAAGACUGGGAUAACUUCGGGAAACCGGAGCUAAUACCGGAUAAUAUAUUGAACCGCAUGGUUCAAUAGUGAAAGACGGGUUUGCUGUUACUUAUAGAUGGAUCCGCGCCGCAUUAGCUAGUUGGUAAGGUAACGGCUUACCAAGGCAACGAUGCGUAGCCGACCUGAGAGGGUGAUCGGCCACACUGGAACUGAGACACGGUCCAGACUCCUACGGGAGGCAGCAGUAGGGAAUCUUCCGCAAUGGGCGAAAGCCUGACGGAGCAACGCCGCGUGAGUGAUGAAGGUCUUCGGAUCGUAAAACUCUGUUAUUAGGGAAGAACAAAUGUGUAAGUAACUAUGCACGUCUUGACGGUACCUAAUCAGAAAGCCACGGCUAACUACGUG
rnacentral:rRNA from 1 species